UGAUUAUCUGUUCUACCCUCUGCUUACAUUCGGCUUCCCUCAACGCCGCUGCUACCAGCCACAGCAGCGACGGUGUUGACGGAGGUCGAGUGUAGACAGAGGACUUCCCUUAAAGUGACU
rnacentral:precursor_RNA from 9 species